rnacentral:rRNA from 1 species
UACAUGGGGUGCAAACGUUGCUCGGAAUUAUUGGGCGUAAAGCGCGCGUAGGCGGUUACUCAAGUCGGAUGUGAAAGCCGUCGGCUUAACUGAGGAAGUGCACCCGAAACUGAGUAGCUAGAGUACUAAAGAGGGUCGCGGAAUUCCCGGUGUAGAGGUGAAAUUCGUAGAUAUCGGGAGGAACACCGGUGGCGAAGGCGGCGACCUGGGUAGAUACUGACGCUGAGGCGCGAAAGCGUGGGGAGCAAACAGG